UCAAACACAUCCUUUAAAUUUUAACUAAUAAGAACAAAGAGGAAUUACAAAAUCUGUAAAAGCUGUUGUUUGGCAGAUAUAUGGAUCUGUACAUUAUUGAAGGUUUAGCAACAUAAAAAUCUAACACUUCCCUUGUAACAACUUUCAAAAAUAAGGGAAGCAGUAUGCAUUUGUAAAUGGUAGCUAAAGCUAACACUAGAUGUUCAAUCCCCAAUCAUAAGGCUGAUAUGUCACCUUCAACCAUGUAAAAUUUUUUGGUUACACUUCACCGCUUGUAUUAUAUUGUAUUGCAUAACAUUGAAAUACUAUUCUUAUACUAAUCUAUAUUUAAUUAUUAUUUUCGAUUGCAUUGUAAUAUAUUAAAAAAAUAGUUAAUAUAAUAAAAUAUGUAUAAAAUAAACCCAUUGUAAGUUGUAUUGCAUUAAAAUAUUAUUUAUAUUUUAAAUAUAAUAAUUUAACUUUUAUUACUUAAUAAAUUAUUAAUUUAUAUUUAAAUGAUAAUAUUAUAAGACUAAAUAUUUAAUAAAUAAAUGAUGAUAAAUUAUUUUACUUUCAUUACAUAAAAUCAUUUUAAUUAUUUAACUUGAAAUAUGUAAAAAAUAUUUUGAUUAUAUUUAAUCAUUUAUUAUUUACUAAAAUGCUAAAUUUGAAAAUAAAUUUGAAUUAAAUGAUUAUAUUCAAUAUUAAUAUGUAAAAAUAAAUUUAUAAUGUAAUAUUAUAUUUUUAUAAUAUAAUAUAAUAUAUAUAAUUAUCUAGUAUUAUGAUUUUACAGUAUAAUAUUAAAUUAUACUAUAUAGUAAUAACUACUAUAUAGAAAUAAAUUAUACUAUAAUACAAUAUUAUUAAUAAUAUAGCAUAAUAUUUUAAAAUUUUAUUAUUUAAUAAGCAUAUUAUUAAAUCAUUUAUUAUUAUUAUUAUUUUUUUAUAAAUCUAGAAAUAUAUUAAAAAUAAAAAAACAGGAAGAGAUACAAAGUUCUCAUGAACAAGAGAUUAAAUUAUGAAACGAUACUUAGAAUAGCUCCAAGCAUCGUCAAAUAACUUUUUCCUAAUAGCCAUUGGUGGUUCAUCCCAAGUAUACAUGGAACAAGAUAAAUCCAAGUUAGCCAAACAAUCCGCUACAAAAUUUCCUUCUUGAAAAAUAUGAGAGCAUUUAAAAAUCAUAUUUUUAAUUAAGCUACGACAAUUAAUCCAUCUAUUACGGAUGCACCAUGGAGGAGCAAAUCUAGGAUUUUGGAGACAAGACAUAGCAGCAGUAGAGUCGCCCUCUAACCAAACAUAUUGCCACCCUCUAUUAGCUGCUUCUUCAAUAGCCGCAAUGAUACCAAAUAUUUCAGCAUAAAAUGAAGAAUGAAAGCCUAAAGGCAUUGCGAAGCAUCCUUUAAAGGCCCCAUUAAAUCCCCUGAAAACAGCACCACAAGCUGCCUCUCCCGGAUUUCCUUUAGCAAGGCAAUCCGUAUUAAUUUUAACCCAAGGAAUUAGAGGAGGAUGCCAAAAGACUGAAAUUACCUUUGGAGCACGUCGCAGCGGCUUCUUUAUGCCCAAUAUAUCAUAAAUUGGAACAUGUAAAUCAAUUUUUAUUAUAAAAAUUAAUAUAUUGAAAUUAUUAUUUAAUAAUUAAUUUAAAAGUUAAUAAUAAAACCCUAAAUAUUAAUAAUUUAAAUAAUAUUUAUUUGAUUUUAACAUUAAAAUAAACCAAUAUUAUUUUUUAUGAGACAAUUUAAUACUAAAACAAACAUAAACAUUGCAUUAUAACUUAAGGCAAUACAUCCUAAUACAAUACACUAUAAUGCAAUAUAAUUGAUAUAGUGUGUCAAACACAUCCUUUAAAUUUUAACUAAUAAGAACAAAGAGGAAUUACAAAAUCUGUAAAAGCUGUUGUUUGGCAGAUAUAUGGAUCUGUACAUUAUUGAAGGUUUAGCAACAUAAAAAUCUAACACUUCCCUUGUAACAACUUUCAAAAAUAAGGGAAGCAGUAUGCAUUUGUGAAUGGUAUUUCUAGAAGCUAAAGCUAACACUAGAUGUUCAAUCCCCAAUCAUAAGGCUGAUAUGUCACCUUCAAC
rnacentral:lncRNA from 1 species